AGUGCGGACCGGGUGAGUAACAACUGACUAACUUGCCCCUCGAGUGGGGAAUAACCUCGGGAAACCGGGGGCUAAUACCGCAUAACAUCUUCGGGAUGAGAAGCCGAAGAUCAAAGGAGCAAUUCGCUUGAGGAGAGGCUCGCGCCUGAUUAGCUAGUUGGUGGGGUAACGGCCCACCAAGCCGGUGAUCGGUAGCCGGCCUGAAAGGGCGCACGGGCACACUGGAACUGAAACACGGUCCAGACUCCUACGGGAGGCAGCAGUGGGGAAUUUUGCGCAAUGGGGGAAACCCUGACGCAGCAACGCCGCGUGGAGGAUGAAGCCCUUUGGGGCGUAAACUCCUUUCGACCGGGACGAUAAUGACGGUACGCGGUGGAAGAAGCACCGGCUAACUCUGUG
rnacentral:rRNA from 1 species